GACCGUGCUUGAUAUUAUUGAGAAAGAGAAAUGUAAUCCUUCUACAGGGAAAAGUAGAAAAUAGUUUUAAACAGUAAUACAGUCUACUAGUGUACCUUUUCAAUCAUUGAUAUUCGCCCUUAUUUUUCUCCCUCAUUCAGAACAUGUCUAUCACUAUUUUGGCUGACAGAGUAGCUUCGAUAUAGAACAUUUCUCAUCUCGUAGAAGAAGAAUGAGUACCACAUAUUGAUUCUACAAAGCUCUUCCAGGAAAUUUCACUCAGAUUUUAUUGGCCAGAGCAGGUUACAAGAGCAUGCCUAACAACAGAUUUCCUGCCAAGGAAAGAGAUAUUCACCCAUUGUAAACCAUUAAAUGAAUUCUCUACUACGAGUGAGCACCUUGAGAGCUGGACAAGACAAGAACAAACAGUUUGAGUGACAUGCACCUGCCCCACAGAAAGACGGAGUGUCAAGUACGUGAAUGAGGAUGCGGAAGACAUCUGGAUCUUUUGAUAGAUAUUUUGCAUUAGGGAGAUCAAGAGUUGGGACUAUCUCUUAUUUUCAAUGGACUUUUCCUAAGGUUAAAGGAAACAUGUUCAAAUCAUGAUCAGCCUAAAUAAUUCUAUGCAUUAUUCUUCUAAGUCUUAUAAUUUUUUUAUAAAUAGUGUCCAUUUCUGUCUUGUUUUAUGUGAUUAUUAAAGACAUUCUUCCCUUAAUUUGUAGCCUUAUAAGUUAAAAGUUCAUAUUGAAUCAUUUGAGAAUAGAUAACUAUACUCAAAGUUGCUAAAUCAUAGACUAUUUGAUAAGACUACCUAACAGCCUUUAGGGUAUUUUGCUGCUGUUAAUACUGCUGAUAAUGAUGAAAAAUAAUGAUUAAAAUUUAUUGAACAUUUUUCUAUGCUGAAAUUUUGUGAGAUAUUUUUGUAGUUUCAACAACUCUUAUUGUAUGCACUUUGCCCCAUUCCAUAUUUACUUCCAGAGGAUAGGCUAAAAUUAAAAACAAAGGGAUGUAUUGAGACUAGUUUUGACAUGAUGAGAGUUUUUUUUUUUUGAGAUGGAGUCUCACUCUGUCACCUAGGCUGGAGUGCGGUGGUGUGAUCUUGGCUCACUGCAACCUCCGCCUGACAGAUUCAAACAAUUCUCCUGCCUCAGCCUCCCGAGUAUGUGGGACUACAGGCGUGCACCACCAUGCCCGGCUAAUUUUUUGUAUUUUUAGUAGAGAUUGGGUUUCACCAUGCUGGUCAGGCUGGUCUCAAACUCCUGACCUCAUGAUCUCCCCUCCUCAGCCUCCCAAAGUGCUGGGAUUACAGGCAUGAGCCACUGAGCCCAGCCUACAUGAUGAGAGAUUUUAUCUCUUAGAAUUUGUAUUUUUCCUGGCCACCCUGGGAGCUCAGGCCUUACAUGUUGCCAGAAUCUCUAUGUUAAAUGAGAUUUAAGCCUAUCUCUCAAUUAAAAGUUGGCUUUGUCUGGAAGGUCCAAGGAGAAAGGGCUAAUCAUAAAUUUUUUAAUUUAAGCCUUAGGUCAGAUGCAUUGUAUUAAUGUUUUGGGCUGCACAUGAUUUAGCUACAUUUAGAAAAUGAAGAGUUCUUUAUAGAUUGUAGAAACCAUGCUAGGUUUUGUAUUAGGCUGUUCUUGUAUUGCUAUAAAGAAAUACCUGAGACUGGGUAAUUUCAAAAGAGAAGACAUUUAAUUGACUUAUGAUUCUGUGGGCUUUACAGGAAGACUAGUGCCUGCAUUUGCUCAGCUUCUGCAGAAGACUCAAGAAGCUUACAAUUAUGGCAGAAGGUGAAGGUCGAACAGCCAUAUCACAUGGACAGAGAAGGAGUAACAGGAGACAGAGGUGUGCCACACACUUGUAAACAGCUAGAUCUUGCAAGCACUAUCACAAGGACAGCACCAAGCACUCAUGAGAAAUCCACCCCCACAUGAUCCAAUCACCUCCCAGCAGUUUCCACCUCCAAUACUGGGAAUGACCACUCAACAUAGGAUUUGGGCAAAUAUACAAAUUGCAUCAAUAUUUCUCACUGUACAGCAAUCCUUUUGCCUUGGUUUUCUAUAUCAAACCCAUCAACAUUUAAUGAUUUAUGAAUAAAGCACUGAUAGCUACUGGGAACAUCUAGAACUCAUGUGCUCUAUCUCUAUUCCAUGGAAUAUCACCCUCUGCUAUACUGGCUUAAAUAAAUAUUUCACAUUAGCAGACAUAAAUUCAGUUUGUCAGAUCAUGUUCAGCCCAGACAUCAUUUCCCUUUCUUUUAUUUCCUAAAUCGUUAAGGUCUAAAGUCAAAGCUGUUAUAUGUUCCCAAAGUAGUAUAAAAUAUGUAUGAAGCAUUUAAGACAUUCCAAACGUUUCUCUUUAUGGUUUGGGACCAAUGUAUCCAUUAAUUUGCUCUUUGGUCUGAGCUUUUGCCAUAAAAGUCUUAGGCCAGGUAAACAUCAAUGUUUUCCAUUUUUCUUCAAUUUAUUUAUUUUUAUUAUUUUUUUUUUUAGCAAACAGUGACUGCUGGAAGCCCCUAGAAAUGAAUGCCAACCUAGUUUACAAAAGACAGUGAUGAUGUCAGUCAAUAUGCAGAAUUGUUCAACUUCCUUUAUCUUUGCAGAGCCACCUAGUGUAACUGAAAUGGUUAACCUGAAUAGGCCUUUAAUUGGAUUGAGCUAUUGUGGAUCCUAGAGCUAGCAAUGCAGACUGAAAAUAGUGUGUUCUUUGUCUUCACCAAGAUAAAGUGUGCUUCAAAGGCAAAAAUGAAGUUGCUUGAAGUCAGUUAUUAGCUCAGCCAGAUUCAUUUUCAAUAGCAUGUCUCAGUGUGUUGCUUGUCUUCUCAAAGGUGGUCCUUUCUGGCCAUUAAGAAAAAGCAGUGAAGCAACCCUCCUGUCUUCCACACAGGUUAAUUGUUAAAUGUAACCAAGGAGACUGUAAAAGGCUUCUAAAUGGGAGAAAAAAACUCAGCCUGAAUGCCUCGGAUUAAUCCUUGAUGUCCCAGUUUUCUCACCUAUAAAUUGGAGAACCUAAUUUCUGUUGGAACCACUGCAUUGUGGUUGCUGUGAGAAUUAAAUGGUAUAAUGUCUGUGAGAGUGCUUUGCAAAGUGGAACUCCCUCUAUAAAUGUAUGGAUUAUUAUACUGUUUACCCUCCAUAAAUGUAUGGAUUAUUAUACUGUUCACUGUCAUUUUUUAAAACAAAUCUUCCAAAUAUCUUCACACCUCGAAGAAAGAUUUGAAAGAGUUCCC
rnacentral:lncRNA from 1 species